rnacentral:rRNA from 1 species
GGCUCCUUGAAUAUCAUGAGGGGUCGUGCCUUCCCGGUGAGCUUGCGAGCUUAAACGGACGCGGUAAAGCGUGCUAAGGUAGCUAAAUUAUGGCCUAUUAAUUGUAGGUCCUGUGAAUGGUUUGACGAGUUUCCAACUGUCUCUAAUUUUUUUUGGUGAACUUGAAUUGGAUGUGCAAAUGCUUCCAUGGGUAAGAAAGACGAGAAGACCCCGUGAAGUUAGAAAUUUUAGCUAUUGAGGCCUUUUAACUAUGAAGUUAAGUGUUAAAGGUUAUACUUUGUUAGGUGAAUAGUGACAGUUUUGGCUGGGGCAGCAAAAGAGCAAAGUCAGACUCUUUUAGUUUUAUGUGACUGGUGUGUUACGACCCACAAAUUNUAGGGUGUGAUUAUCAGAAGAAGUUAUCUCCGGGGAUAAACAAGCGUAAUCUGUACGUGAGCGAGUUACUUAUUAAGAUGGGCGGGUUGUGCGACCCUCCGAA